rnacentral:rRNA from 1 species
GACGAACGCUGGCGGCGUGCUUAACACAUGCAAGUCGAACGGAAAGGCCCUGCUUUUGUGGGGUGCUCGAGUGGCGAACGGGUGAGUAACACGUGAGUAACCUGCCCUUGACUUUGGGAUAACUUCAGGAAACUGGGGCUAAUACCGGAAAGGAGCUCCUGCUGCAUGGUGGGGGUUGGAAAGUUUCGGCGGUUGGGGAUGGACUCGCGGCUUAUCAGCUUGUUGGUGGGGUAGUGGCUUACCAAGGCUUUGACGGGUAGCCGGCCUGAGAGGGUGACCGGCCACAUUGGGACUGAGAUACGGCCCAGACUCCUACGGGAGGCAGCAGUGGGGAAUAUUGCACAAUGGGCGGAAGCCUGAUGCAGCAGCGCCGCGUGCGGGAUAACGGCCUUCGGGUUGUAAACCGCUUUCGCCUGUGACGAAGCGUGAGUGACGGUAAUGGGUAAAGAAGCACCGGCUAACUACGUG